GAUGAACGCUGGCGGCGUGCCUAAUACAUGCAAGUAGAACGCUGACGGAGGAGCUUGCUCUUCUGGAUGAGUUGCGAACGGGUGAGUAACGCGUAGGUAACCUGCCUGGUAGCGGGGGGUAACUAUUGGAAACGAUAGCUAAUACCGCAUGACAACAGUUAUUGCAUGAUAACUGUUUAAAAGUGGCAACUGCUCCACUACCAGAUGGCCCUGCGUUGUAUUAGCUAGUUGUUGUGGUAACGGAUCACCAAGGCGACGUUACAUAGCCGACCUGAGAGGGUGAUCGGCCACGCUGGGACUGAGACACGGCCCAGCAUCCUACGGGAGGCAGCAGUAGGGAAUCUUCGGCAAUGGACGGAAGUCUGACCGAGCAACGCCGCGUGAGUGAAGAAGGUUUUCGGAUCGUAAAGCUCUGUUGUAAGAGAAGAACGAGUGUGAGAGUGGAAAGUUCACACUGUGACGGUAUCUUACCAGAAAGGGACGGCUAACUACGUG
rnacentral:rRNA from 1 species